AGUGGAAGCUAGAUCUAUUUAGAGCAGCAAGUGGUUGAAAAUUGUGCUAUCUCCAAGAAUGAUGUAAUUUUUCAUAGUAUCACAAAGAUUGGUGUGUGAGCCUUUAAAGAUGUAAUAUUUGUCAGAACAUCCUAAUAUGCUACAAUUGUCUUUUUGGUAGUUGUCUCAAGUAAAUUAAAGUUUAUUAUUAGACUUGAAUGGAUUGAUUAAAUAAAAACUUGCUUAAAUUGGUUCCAAGUUAGUCUCCACUUUUUAGCAAUUGGUUGCAAAAGGUUGAUUUAUUUUAGUGGUGUUCAACCAUACUGAAACCGCAAUUAACCUGUAAUUUAAAAUCUUGU
rnacentral:lncRNA from 1 species